rnacentral:rRNA from 1 species
UUAGAGUUUUGACAUGGCUCAGGACGAACGCUGGCGGCGUGCCUAAUACAUGCAAGUCGAGCGGACAGAAGGGAGCUUGCUCCCGGAUGUUAGCGGCGGACGGGUGAGUAACACGUGGGUAACCUGCCUGUAAGACUGGGAUAACUCCGGGAAACCGGAGCUAAUACCGGAUAGUUCCUUGAACCGCAUGGUUCAAGGAUGAAAGACGGUUUCGGCUGUCACUUACAGAUGGACCCGCGGCGCAUUAGCUAGUUGGUGGGGUAAUGGCUCACCAAGGCGACGAUGCGUAGCCGACCUGAGAGGGUGAUCGGCCACACUGGGACUGAGACACGGCCCAGACUCCUACGGGAGGCAGCAGUAGGGAAUCUUCCGCAAUGGACGAAAGUCUGACGGAGCAACGCCGCGUGAGUGAUGAAGGUUUUCGGAUCGUAAAGCUCUGUUGUUAGGGAAGAACAAGUGCGAGAGUAACUGCUCGCACCUGACGCCUACGAAGCC